rnacentral:rRNA from 1 species
AUGGCGGAUGCACCUCUGUACAAGCAGCGUCGCAGGUACACCAGGGAGCUCCACGACGUCGACCUCGACGGCAACCACAAGCUCCAUGUCGUUUUCACAAGCAAGGGUCAAGACGUGGACAAGAUGUUGUCCACGCUCAGGAGGAAGCUCGGUGGAAUGCCCGUCAAACUAGUCGGCGUUGAUGUCGAGUACACGCACUACGUGAAGCGACAACGGGCAGCAGUGCUCCAGCUAUGUGUAGAAAAAGAAUGCCUUGUCUACCACAUCUCUGCAGCUAAAGACAGGAGACAAAAGCAAGCUGAAGCUAUCUGGAUUGGAGAUCAACUCUGA